rnacentral:rRNA from 1 species
ACACAUGCAAGUCGAGGGGCAGCAUGAACUUAGCUUGCUAAGUUUGAUGGCGACCGGCGCACGGGUGAGUAACACGUAUCCAACCUGCCGAUGACUCGGGGAUAGCCUUUCGAAAGAAAGAUUAAUACCCGAUGGCAUAGUUCUUCCGCAUGGUAGAACUAUUAAAGAAUUUCGGUCAUCGAUGGGGAUGCGUUCCAUUAGGUUGUUGGCGGGGUAACGGCCCACCAAGCCUUCGAUGGAUAGGGGUUCUGAGAGGAAGGUCCCCCACAUUGGAACUGAGACACGGUCCAAACUCCUACGGGAGGCAGCAGUGAGGAAUAUUGGUCAAUGGACGAGAGUCUGAACCAGCCAAGUAGCGUGAAGGAUGACUGCCCUAUGGGUUGUAAACUUCUUUUAUACGGGAAUAAAGUGAGGCACGUGUGCCUUUUUGUAUGUACCGUAUGAAUAAGGAUCGGCUAACUCCGUGCCAGCAGCCGCGGUAAUACGGAGGAUCCGAGCGUUAUCCGGAUUUAUUGGGUUUAAAGGGAGCGUAGGCGGACGCUUAAGUCAGUUGUGAAAGUUUGCGGCUCAACCGUAAAAUUGCAGUUGAUACUGGGUGUCUUGAGUACAGUAGAGGCAGGCGGAAUUCGUGGUGUAGCGGUGAAAUGCUUAGAUAUCACGAA